rnacentral:lncRNA from 1 species
GCCAACAAUGGAUCAUGGACAAAAGGAGUACUCACAAUUUGGCAGAUACGGGAAACACUGGAACGGUGUUUGUUUUUCUGGCAAUAAGCCGGAUCCCUAUCAAGUUUUAGAAUGCAUAAAUGGUUUGUGGAUAUUAGUGUAUUCGGCCUUCCACAAUGAUGCCUCCCAAACUCAAGCACACCAGCACACCUCAACUUGGGGUAUGUUGGCUACUAGUACAAUAGUAAGGCCUUUCGACAUCAAACCAUUUCACAGCAGCAACGCCAACUGUACCAUGGUCUAUGCGUUUUAGUCAACCACGCUACUACGGAUCAAAUAGUAGGGGCGAUUGGAAUCACCAGACCGACUUAUUAUGAGUGCAUGCCUUUCGACAAAAUGAUGGCUCUUUCCCUUACCUUCUCCGUAAACUGGUAAAUAUUUAAAUUGAUUGUCGAUUUAUUAUUACUAAUGACAACAAAUGGAAAUCGGAACUUUCUAGACGCUCCUGUGUGCCUUGGAAAUUAGAACCAUUAUGGGAUGAUUUCGUUCUCUACUACAACAAGUACAUCAUAGGACACAAGAUGGAUACAAUCGACCGGAUCACUUCAUUUAGAGAGCAGUAUCGCAAUUGUCAACAUCUGGUUCUGAUAUUCCAUGGCACUAAUGCUUGUUCAUGUUUUUGCCCUUGUAUUAAAAAAAAACAUUGAAAAGUCAUUUAUUAAUUAUAUAAAAUUAGAAUGCUUACUAAACUAGAAUGCGUACGAAGGGAUAUGGGACAAGAUUUGUCAUGCCCAAUUUGUCAUCAUGAAACAGAAGAUAUUUUGCAUGUCUUUACCUAGUCUUUAGAGAAAUUUAGAAUUUCUUGAUACUAAGUGCCCAUCAAACAUAGUUCUUCUCAAGAAAUCUUUCGGAAUGGAUCAAGGCGAACAUGGAGAGCUCCAGCUGGAGUUUGAGGAAUGAGGUGAUCUCAUGGUUAACCCUCUUCGAGUUGCUAGUACGGCGUAUGUGAAAGAAUAAGAAUUUUUGUCUUUCAAGGCCUUUAUUGAAAUAUUUUGGAAACUAUUAAGAUUUUAAUAUGUUGGGCAACAAAGUAUAACUUAGCAAAAAGCUGGGGUCAAAGUAGCAAGAAUAACUUAGAGAAUGAAAGUAUUUUAGGGAAUUAUAGGAUUAUUAGGAAUAAUGAGUGAUUAUUUUAGGAAAUUAGUCUAGUCAAGGUUUUUUUAUGCCAAAAAAAAUUAAAAUGUUUGCUUUAAGUGUUAUCUCAAUAUAUUUUAAUAUAAAUAAUAAAAUCAGAUAGUUUAUACUAAAUUUGACAUAGAAAAUACUUAUGGAGAACAAAUGCUAAUAUAAACAAAAAAAUUAGUAUCCAAAAUAUAAGUUGCUAAAAUUUGAUAACAGAAAUAAAACUUUUUGAAAAUUUAAGUGGUAAAAGGUAUAAUUCAUAUUCUUUUGAUUUCAAAAUUGUAAUAGUACGUGAGCAUUUUUUUUUUAUGUUCAUGUAAGCAAGGCUAUGUUAUAUGUUACAAAUAUGUAUUAUUUAAUAUGUGUCAUUACAUCGUCAUGCAUUUAAUCAUUAUCUUUUAACGGUUAGAUAGUAAAAAAAAAAUUUAUAUCUUUGAUAACAUUUUAAAUAAUUAAAUGAUUUUCUCGUAAUUUUUUCAUAUCAUAUGAUAAAUUGCAUACUUAAAAAAUAAAUAAUUAUAAAAUAAUAAUAUAUGAUAAACAACAUAAUAAAAUAAAAUAUUGAUAAUUAGCAGUGAAUGAUUUAUAGUAACUAUAAAGUUAUUGUAAAUAUCAUAUCAUAGUACAUUAUUGAUAGCAUAAGAAUUAUUCAUUAUGUACCAUAAAUUUUAUAAUACAAAAUGUAAUUAUACUUUAAGCUUUAUAAUAUAAUAAUUAAUAGAUUAAUACAUCGAGUGACAUGUUUGUAGAUUAAAAUUUUUAUUAAUACAUUAGUUUGUAUCUACAGUAUUUACAAGAAUUACAAGAGAUGGAAAGAAAACACCAUGCCAAAUACUCAGCUUUAAAUUCAUGGAAGGCGUUGGAAAGCGGGUUCCUCAAAAUCAAUUUCGAUGCUGCUUUUGAUAAGGGGAAAAAUAUAUCUUGUUCAGGGGUAAUAGUCAAGAACUUUAAAGGUGAUGUAUUCGUUUCAAAAUCGGUCAUCCAUGACAAUAUUUCUUCAGGAUUUGCAGCAGAAGCCUUAGCAUGUUUGCAGGUAGUUAUGGUGGGAAAAGAACUAGAGAUAAAAUAUGUUAUUUUCGAAGGCGACUCUCUGACGGUUAUAAAAAAAGUGAACACAAAAAAAAAAGAUAAAUCGGUAAUCGGCCCUUAUAUUGAUGAUAUUCAAGAGCAUAAUGCGAAUUUUUAUGGAUGCAAAUUCCAGCAUGCAAAAAGAGCAGCACAUAACCUGGCAUCUGAAGGGCUGAAAACGAGGGUGAAUGCAUACUCUGUUCAUGAGUCUGUUACUCAAGUUCUCACCGAUUCAGAAAUUGAUAGGGGAUGGACAUGAAGGCCAUCACUGAGUCAACACCAUCUCGAGCAAAUGAGAAAGUAGGAGAAAAUUUUUUAGAUCUCUAUGACUGUUUGUUUCUCCAAGAGCUAGUCGAUUGGGAUGCAGAUAUUUUUCAAAGAACUAUCUAGAAGUUGACAGCUCAUAAGGCUGGGUUUUUCUUUUUUUCUUAUGUUAGGCAAUAUUUUUCAGUUUUACUUUAGGUAACGUUGUUCUUUUAAACUUUGUUUACUAGAAGGCCCUAACCCUAGUUUGGAGCAUGGCCUGUGUUUGGUUCUUAGAUCAUAAUGUUUUUAAUUAUGCAUAAAUAAAUACAACCCAGUAUUCCUUCAAAAAAAAUUCAACUUAUGUGCUUCUAAAUAUUGAAAUUUUUAUUAAAAAAUAUUUGGUAAAAAUGUUCAAAAUUUUUGCCACAAAAAAUAUUUGGGUAAAUUACACCAACAGUCAUCCAACUUUGGGGUAGCUGACAAAACAG